UACGUAGAAGACUAGUGUUAUUCAUCUUUAGUAGGUUUAAAGGGUACCUAGACGGUAAAAUUAGUCCAAAACAGGAUAUCGGUUUUACUAGAGUUAUAUAUGAGGAGGUGAGUAUUUAUGGAGUAGAGUUGAAAUUCUUUGAUACCGUUAACGACUGGUAACGGCGAAAGCAACCUUUUAUCUAAUAACUGACGUUGAGGGACGAAGGCUUGGGUAACGAACAGG
rnacentral:rRNA from 1 species